UACAGAGGGUGCAAGCGUUGUUCGGAAUUAUUGGGCGUAAAGGGCGCGUAGGCGGCGCACCAAGUCAGGCGUGAAAGCCCUGGGCUCAACCCGGGAAUUGCGCUUGAGACUGGUGUGCUUGAGUACGGGAGAGGAUAGUGGAAUUCCCAGUGUAGAGGUGAAAUUCGUAGAUAUUGGGAAGAACACCGGUGGCGAAGGCGGCUAUCUGGACCGUAACUGACGCUGAGGCGCGAAAGCGUGGGGAGCAAACAGG
rnacentral:rRNA from 1 species